rnacentral:rRNA from 1 species
GACGAACGCUGGCGGCGUGCUUAACACAUGCAAGUCGAACGGAAAGGCCCUGCUUGCAGGGUACUCGAGUGGCGAACGGGUGAGUAACACGUGGGUGAUCUGCCCUGCACUUCGGGAUAAGCCUGGGAAACUGGGUCUAAUACCGGAUAGGAGCCAUUUUUAGUGUGAUGGUUGGAAAGUUUUUUCGGUGUAGGAUGAGCUCGCGGCCUAUCAGCUUGUUGGUGGGGUAAUGGCCUACCAAGGCGGCGACGGGUAGCCGGCCUGGGGGGGUGGACGGCCAAAGGGGGACGGAGAGAGGGCCCGGCCUCCGAGGGGGGGAGGGAGGGGGGAAUAUUGAAAAAGGGGGACAAGCCGGAGGCGGCGCGGCCGGGGGGGGGAGGGCGGCCUUGGGGUUGAAAGCUCUUUUCGAGGGGGAAAAAGUUUUUUGGGAGGUACCUUGGAAGAAAGCCCCGGACAAGCUAGGUG